rnacentral:rRNA from 1 species
AUUGAACGCUGGCGGCAGGCCUAACACAUGCAAGUCGAGCGGAUGACAGGAGCUUGCUCCUGGAUUCAGCGGCGGACGGGUGAGUAAUGCCUAGGAAUCUGCCUGGUAGUGGGGGACAACGGUUCGAAAGGAACGCUAAUACCGCAUACGUCCUACGGGAGAAAGCAGGGGACCUUCGGGCCUUGCGCUAUCAGAUGAGCCUAGGUCGGAUUAGCUAGGUGGUGAGGUAAUGGCUCACCAAGGCGACGAUCCGUAACUGGUCUGAGAGGAUGAUCAGUCACACUGGAACUGAGACACGGUCCAGACUCCUACGGGAGGCAGCAGUGGGGAAUAUUGGACAAUGGGCGAAAGCCUGAUCCAGCCAUGCCGCGUGUGUGAAGAAGGUCUUCGGAUUGUAAAGCACUUUAAGUUGGGAGGAAGGGUUGUAGAUUAAUACCCUGCAAUUUUGACGUUACCGACAGAAUAAGCACCGGCUAACUCUGUGCCAGCAGCCGCCGUAAUAC